GCUUUAUAGAAUUGAUUUAACUUAUAAUAGAACUAGUAUAUUAGCGCACUGCCGCUAAAAAAGUUAGUCUGAUCAUAAUAUAUUUUCGCCAACACCAGGGGACUUUUAGUCCACCCGUCUCAGCUUUACCCCGCCAUCUGGGUGCUUUUACAUUCAGGUGGCGAUUA
rnacentral:sRNA from 18 species